rnacentral:RNase_P_RNA from 1 species
AUAACCAGAUGGUCGCGGUGACAGUGAUGUCAACGAGGAAAGUCCGAGCAUCGCAGGGCAGAGUGGUGGGUAACGCCCACUGAAGGUGACUUUAAGGAUAGUGCAACAGAAAUAGACCGCAUUAGCUUCGGCUAGUGUAAGGAUGGAAAGGCGAGGUAAGAGCUCACCGCUCCGAUGGUGACAUUGGAGGCUAUGUAAACCCCACUUGAUGCAAGAUAAAUUGGUAUGGUGCCCGCCGUUAAUACCUAAACCGUCGCUAAAAGAUACUGGCAACAGUAUACGUAGAUAGAUGACCGUCUAAUACAGAACUCGGCUUAUAGAUUAUCUUG